rnacentral:rRNA from 1 species
CAUAUUGUGAGCUCGAUGAGUAGGGCGGGACACGUGGUAUCCUGUCUGAAUAUGGGGGGACCAUCCUCCAAGGCUAAAUACUCCUGACUGACCGAUAGUGAACCAGUACCGUGAGGGAAAGGCGAAAAGAACCCCGGCGAGGGGAGUGAAAAAGAACCUGAAACCGUGUACGUACAAGCAGUGGGAGCACGCUUAGGCGUGUGACUGCGUACCUUUUGUAUAAUGGGUCAGCGACUUAUAUUCUGUAGCAAGGUUAACCGAAUAGGGGAGCCGAAGGGAAACCGAGUCUUAACUGGGCGUUAAGUUGCAGGGUAUAGACCCGAAACCCGGUGAUCUAGCCAUGGGCAGGUUGAAGGUUGGGUAACACUAACUGGAGGACCGAACCGACUAAUGUUGAAAAAUUAGCGGAUGACUUGUGGCUGGGGGUGAAAGGCCAAUCAAACCGGGAGAUAGCUGGUUCUCCCCGAAAGCUAUUUAGGUAGCGCCUCGUGAAUUCAUCUCCGGGGGUAGAGCACUGUUUCGGCAAGGGGGUCAUCCCGACUUACCAACCCGAUGCAAACUGCGAAUACCGGAGA